rnacentral:rRNA from 1 species
UACGUAGGGUCCGAGCGUUGUCCGGAAUUACUGGGCGUAAAGAGCUCGUAGGUGGUUUGUCGCGUUGUUCGUGAAACUCACAGCUUAACUGUGGGCGUGCGGGCGAUACGGGCAGACUUGAGUACUGCAGGGGAGACUGGAAUUCCUGGUGUAGCGGUGGAAUGCGUAGAGAUCCGGAAGAACACCGGUGGCGAAGGCGGGUCUCUGGGCCGAUACUGACGCUG